GACGAACGCUGGCGGCGUGCUUAACACAUGCAAGUCGAACGGGAGUAUCGAAGAAGCUUGCUUUAGAGAUACUUUAGUGGCGGACGGGUGAGUAACGCGUGAGGAGCUGUCCGAUGCAGGGGGACAACAGUUGGAAACGACUGCUAAUACCCCAUAAGCCGAGAGGUAAAAGGAUUUAUCCGGCAUGGGAGGUACUCGCGUCCUAUCAGCUAGUAGGUGAGGUAACGGCUCACCUAGGCGAAGACGGGUAGCCGGCCUGAGAGGGCGAACGGCCACACUGGAACUGAGAUACGGUCCAGACUCCUACGGGAGGCAGCAGUGGGGAAUAUUGGGCAAUGGGGGGAACCCUGACCCAGCGACGCCGCGUGGGUGAAGAAAUCCUUCGGGAUGUAAAGCCCUGUUGUAUGGGAAGAGCGGAAGACGGUACCAUACGAGGAAGCCCCGGCAAACUACGUGCCAGCCGCCGCCGUAA
rnacentral:rRNA from 1 species